AUUCUCAUGAUGAAGAAUCGUUGAAUUAGGGCUUUGAGCUUUUCAAUUUGUCCGAGAAUCUGCAUGUACAAGCCAUCAGGGGUCCUCUGCUGAACUGGUGGAUGAAUCGUUAUCGAAGUCGUCGACUUUCAAAUUACUGAUUGUUUCGUCGGAAUUGUUGAUUGUUUGGGAAUUGUUGAAUUAGGAGUUUGAGCUUUUUCAAAGUGUCCAGGAAUCUGCAUG
rnacentral:lncRNA from 1 species